rnacentral:ncRNA from 1 species
GGUCAAGUGAAGAAGCGCAUACGGUGGAUGCCUUGGCAGUCAGAGGCGAUGAAAGACGUGGUAGCCUGCGAUAAGCGUCGGUGAGGUGGCAAACGACCUGCGACCCGGCGAUCUCUGAAUGGGGAAACCCACCUGGGAUAACCCAGGUAUCUUGACCUGAAUCCAUAGGGUCAAGAGGCGAACCAGGGGAACUGAAACAUCUAAGUACCCUGAGGAAAAGAAAUCAACCGAGAUUCCCUUAGUAGUGGCGAGCGAACGGGGA